rnacentral:lncRNA from 1 species
GUUUAUCUGCGAAGAUUGAGAAGAUUGUCAGAAUGCUCUUUGAUUCUUUUUUUAUCAAUUUUCAUUGCAGGUUUUUAUGAGCAAUUGGGUUGUUGUGAACUUUUGAAUUUCUUUUUUCUUUUUGCUUUCUAUAAUUCUGACCUUGAUAGGUUCCUUUUGGUGUAAUCUAUCUUGGGUCAGAUGACUCAGAUACGUGAUUUCAUUU